CGUAGACCGGCAUGUUGCGUAAGGAUAAUCAACCACAGAGGGCGAGAAGUUCGUCCUUAUCCUCAAAAGGCUAAAAGAGGAGAUAGUGCUUCUGAUAAUUCAGAAGGGCGUCGUGAAACACAUUUUGUGGCUCGUCUGUAACUCCCGGAGGUGAGAACACCUCUUUGUACACGGGGCGAUAUAGGAGUCUAGAAGACUGGCGUGUACCUACA
rnacentral:ncRNA from 1 species